UCGGAUCACACCUGGGCUUGGAGAAUCAGU
rnacentral:piRNA from 1 species